rnacentral:rRNA from 1 species
GCCUACGGGACGCAGCAGUGAGGAAUAUUGGUCAAUGGGCGGAAGCCUGAACCAGCCAAGUCGCGUGAGGGAAGAAGGCCCUGCGGGUCGCAGACCUCUUUGGACGGGGAGCAACGGGCGUCACGUGUGGCGCCACUGAGAGUACCCGGAGAAAAAGCAUCGGCUAACUCCGUGCCAGCAGCCGCGGUAAUACGGAGGAUGCGAGCGUUAUCCGGAUUUAUUGGGUUUAAAGGGUGCGUAGGCGGAUCGUUAAGUCAGUGGUCAAAUUGAGGGGCUCAACCCCUUCCCGCCAUUGAAACUGGCGC